AUCAACAAAGUCUCUUUUUUAUGGUUUUAUUGUAUAACUUAUACUGAUUUGAAAUAAUCUCACAAGUACUUAUGUCAAUGAAUAAGCUCGGAUAAGUCAAUCUAAAUAGACAUUCAUUUUUUCAUGGUGUUUCUAUCUAUGCAUGAUUACGAAUCUGACAGUGAUAAUGUCGUCUACUUUCAUAGAAAAUAUUCUUUUCUUUCAUAGGAUUUCAUAAGAGAUUUUUGAAUGAAUUUUGGCUCAACUGUUCAAGAGAAUUGGAAGCCUUGAAAAGAGCUUUGAAGGGACACCAAAAAUUGCAAAACCAAAAAGGAGUAGUAAUAAUGAGACAAAUCUUGAUACAUGGCGCAUCCAACCCAAAACACGAAAGAGAUUUGAAGAAAAUACCGGUCUGUUAUGGGAGCACAAAAUCGAGUGAAAAUAUCAACCACAGAAUACAGCAAGAAUCAAUCAGAUGCACAAUUCAAUUUUAUUUAGGUUCAAACACAAUAAAGCAGAGCAACAAUAAUUCGAGUGAAUUUUACAGGUAC